GUAAGGAAUAUUGGUCAAUGGAGGCAACUCUGAACCAGCCAUGCCGCGUGCAGGAAGACGGCCCUAUGGGUUGUAAACUGCUUUUAUCCGGGAAUAAACCUAUUUACGUGUAGAUAGCUGAAUGUACCGGAAGAAUAAGGAUCGGCUAACUCCGUGCCAGCAGCCGCGGUAAUACGGAGGAUCCAAGCGUUAUCCGGAUUUAUUGGGUUUAAAGGGUGCGUAGGCGGCCUGUUAAGUCAGAGGUGAAAGACGGUAGCUCAACUAUCGCAGUGCCUUUGAUACUGACAGGCUUGAAUGGACUAGAGGUAGGCGGAAUGAGACAAGUAGCGGUGAAAUGCAUAGAUAUGUCUCAGAACACCGAUUGCGAAGGCAGCUUACUAUGGUUUUAUUGACGCUGAGGCACGAAAGCGUGGGGAUCAAACAGGAUUAGAAACCCGAGUAGUCC
rnacentral:rRNA from 1 species